CCUACGGGUGGCUGCAGUGGGGAAUAUUGGACAAUGGGGGCAACCCUGAUCCAGCCAUGCCGCGUGUGUGAAGAAGGCCCUCGGGUUGUAAAGCACUUUCAGUGAGGAAGAACGCCUGGUGGUUAAUACCCAUCAGGAAAGACAUCACUCACAGAAGAAGCACCGGCUAACUCCGUGCCAGCAGCCGCGGUAAUACGGAGGGUGCGAGCGUUAAUCGGAAUUACUGGGCGUAAAGCGCGCGUAGGUGGCUUGAUAAGCCGGUUGUGAAAGCCCCGGGCUCAACCUGGGAACGGCAUCCGGAACUGGCAAGCUAGAGUGCAGGAGAGGAAGGUAGAAUUCCCGGUGUAGCGGUGAAAUGCGUAGAGAUCGGGAGGAAUACCAGUGGCGAAGGCGGCCUUCUGGACUGACACUGACACUGAGGUGCGAAAGCGUGGGUAGCAAACAGGAUUAGAUACCCCAGUAGUC
rnacentral:rRNA from 1 species